GACGAACGCUGGCGGCGUGCUUAACACAUGCAAGUCGAACGGAAAGGCCCUGCUUUUGUGGGGUGCUCGAGUGGCGAACGGGUGAGAAACACGUGAGUAACCUGCCCUUGACUUUGUGAUAACUUCAGGAAACUGGGGCUAUUAUCGGAUAGAAGCUCCUGCUGCAUGGGGGGGGUUGGAAAGAUUCGGCGGUUGGGGAUGGACGGGCGGGUUAUCAGCUUGUUGGUGGGGUAGUUGCUUACCAAGGCUUUGACGGGUAGCCGGCCUGGGAGGGGGAACGGCCACCUUGGGACUGCGAGACGGCGCAGUCGCCUACGGGAGGCAGCAGUGGGGAAUCUUGCACAAUGGGGCGAAGCCUGAUGCAGCAACGCCGCGUGCGGGAUGACGGCCUUCGGGGUGUAAACCGCUUUCGCAUGUGACGAAGAGUGAGUGACGGUAACGGGUCAAGAAGCCCCGGCUAACUACGUG
rnacentral:rRNA from 1 species